AGCAGGUGCAAAUGCCUCCAUCAAACAAACACAGUCUUUUAGCUUGUCUGGCAACACAACAGCAGAAACACCCUUCUCCCCAGGUUUCAAAGGCGUGUAAAGAAAUGUGUUAGACUCAACUACUCCUAAUUCCUUAACAUUGUCAUUACUAGUCUCUGAAGAAGAUGCUUCUGAUGAGCCAUUGCUCACCAACCUCUGCUGCAAACUUAACAAGGCCCUCUCUGCCUUUCUCCUCUGCCUUGCUUGCUCAAUUUUUUCUGCACGAGGAUCAGCGACCCUCUCAUUCCACACAGGAGUGUGGACAUACGUGUGAGGAUCAGGAAAAGCAGGCAACCAAGCUGGGAUAUGUUUCCCAGGUGGUGCUUCACUCAUGUUUAAAAAACUAGGAAUUAAAUCUCCUAUCUCUAAUAACUGGAAAAUGUGGCACUGGUUGAGCAAAAGGGAUCUCCUCAGUAGAACCCAAUAAUUCAAUUAUCUCCCUAACAGUACCCGAAUUAAUAAUAUCAUUG
rnacentral:misc_RNA from 1 species